CUUCCAGGUGCCUGAUCCAGAAUCCAUUAAGUUUAAAAAGUAUCUUUAAUGGCUCUGGAUUACACCUUGGAAG
ensembl:miRNA gga-mir-1741 gga-mir-1741